AGUAAGCAUUUGAUUAGAGAGUGAGGAAGAGAUGGUUGUAGAGUGAGAAAUCUGUGAUACUGCAGCUUUUUAUUUAAAUAAGCUUUUUAAUUUGAACAUAUGUUGAACAAGCAGGAUGGAUAAAUCAAAGAGCCUGUUUCCAUUAUAUGCAUAUUUUAUUAGUGCAAUCAGUGGGCUGAAUCUCUACUGGUACAUUACAUGCCUAGGAAUGCUUGCAGGAACUGUGGCCAGGUAGCAUGGGUUGGCCUGCGCCUGUAUGAGUGAACUCUCUCGGCCCUCAGGACUGAGUGCUCAUAUCCAGUCUGCCUAAUGCAAAUGCUCAUGGUGAUGCUCUGCCUCCCAGACUGUGCCUGGAAACUGGGAGGAUGUCAGUUGGCAGAAGCUUGAAGCAUGCAGAAGAACACGCUAAUGCCUUAACAAUAUUUUACAGUGAAAAUUAUCAAGAUACUUCUUUUUUGCCCCAAGUUUUAAAAUGCAGUGUCCUUGAAAAACACAAACUGCCUGGGGGAGCUGGCUGGACUGACUGGAUUGUUAGUGCAAGAAAUUAGCCAGUACCUCUGCUCAGGUCCAAGGUCAAACUGAGAACUUGAG